CAGUGACCUACCUUCGUUCUGCGGCUGCCGCCGGGGCCGGGGCCGGCUGGGUCGCGAGCUGGCCGGCGGCGCCAGCGGUGCCUCGUGGAAGAUGGCCGCGGGCGGGGGCGGCGGCGGCGGCGGCGGUGGUGGAGUCGGUGGCGGCGGCUGGCGCGUCGCCGGCUCGUCGUCGCUCGUGUACGGCGAGUACGGCUCGAACUCUGCAACCACCGCACAGCAGACAUUCAGGAUUUCCACGAAAUCUCUGCGCGGAGGGGGCCUGGCCCGCAUUGACAGCAUGCCCUCUCCGAGAUCCUUCUUCUUCGUCUUGUGGGAUCUGAAAAGCUCCCUGGCGGCCUGAGCGGCGUGCUGCAGCCGCGCGAUGAACUUCUCGAUGUCGUCAAAGCAGUGGUUCAGCACGGACACAUCGCGCUCGUACUUCUCCGACGAGGUGGACGACACGUCGUCGGUGGCCGCCUCGCUCCCGGCGCGGUCCCGCUCGCGCGAGCUGUGGCGCGAACUCUCGAAAUCUGGCGGCAAAUCACGGAGAGUUCAGAUUCCAGAGACGCGACUCGGUGGCAGAGUGCCAGCCUCGAGUGAAUUAUUCACAGAGCAGCUCACGACUGACCUGCCGCCCUUCAAUUGGCACAACGACCGAGACGAACGGCCUGGCUCUGAGACACCCGAGAUUCACGCUGUUGGUUGUGAGAUUCUGAACCGUGCAGCAUCGUCUCGUUCGGGGAUGUUUAGUACGCUCUAUCACAUUUUACAAUGCACUUGUUUGUGUGUAGCUUCGAGGCUGUAC